ensembl:lncRNA
AAAAUGUUGUGCAGCAGUGACGCACCGGUGUGUUCGAAGCGUAAAAUCAAAGAGAGCGCAGAUGACAUGAAUUUGGUGAAAAAUAACACUUUUCGAUUGAUUUCAAUGCUGAGGAAGUAAAAACUCGGAAGCAGCAGAACGCAACAUUGAAAUUUCAGGUUGCAAAGCAGGAGAAGAAGCUCACUGAAAUUGAGUCAAAGGUAAACGAGAAUGACCGGAUAGUCGGAGAUGGAAUCUUUGAAUUUAUGGAAUUGCAGAAAAAUCUGACAAGGACAUUGAAAGCAAGAGUGAAGGACAUUUGCAGGGCAAUAAUGUUGUUGCAGGUUCUCUGGAUGUAGUGCACCGCCUGGGUAGGCUGAGAGAUGGGGAAAACGACCAGUGAUCACGAGAUUCAUCUCCAGGACUGCGAGGGAUAUGACAUGGAAAAGUGCAAAGAAAAAUGACUAUUUAAAGAAGAACAACCUGAAGUUCAAGGAUGAUCUGACAGCAUUUGACAAAUAAGCUCGGAAUCGUCUGUGGUCGAUGAUUUAGAGAGCAAGGAAGGUAGGGAAAAGUGCAUACUUUGCGGGAGUCAAGGCUUUUGAUAAUCGAAGGGAAAUUCACGCUGAUGCCUAGCUUGUUGACUGCUGGACUUAUCAAGACCAUUCACACAGUCCAGUCAGUCACACAGUCCAGAAGCUCGGGCCUACCCUACUUCCUCCUACAACACCCUGAUGAGAAGCAAAAAACCUGGCCCCAGGACUCGCCCCACAGGCGAGGGUCCACCAGAAACUCAGUGGGUGGUCGGUCUGGGGGAAGCCCUGGCAGUGAUGAAGGAUCUCCUACCUUGACAUUUUUCAAAAAAAUGAACCCAGUGUGUCGAGGCACCGAUCUGUGGGGACAGGUCUCUGAAUGUCCUUGAGUGGCCCAGCCAGAGCCCGGACUUAAAUCCGAUCUAACAUCUCUGGAGAGACCUGAAAUCACUGUGCAGCGACGCUCCCCAUCCAACCUGACAGAGCUUUUGGAGCUGUAAUUGCUGCCAAAGAUGCUUCAACAAAGUACUGAGUAAAGGGUCUGAAUA